GGGGUUGUGGCUCAGUGAUAGAGCACUUGCCUUGCAUGCAUGAUACGCUGAGUUCAAUCCUCAGCACCA
rnacentral:tRNA from 1 species